GUCCUCGUGUUUGUUAGUUGACGCUAAGGCUGGUUAAACCGUUUGGUUUUCGACCACUACGACCCGGGUUCGAUUCCCGCAUUGGACA